rnacentral:rRNA from 1 species
UACGUAGGCAGCGAGCGUUGUUCGGAAUACUGGGCGUAAAGCGUGCGCAGGCGGUGAUGUAAGACAGAUGUGAAAUCCCCGGGCUCAACCUGGGAACUGCAUUUGUGACUGCAUCGCUGGAGUGCGGGCAGAGGGGGAUGGAAUUCCGCGUGUAGCAGUGAAAUGCGUAGAUAUGCGGAGGAACACCGAUGGCGAAGGCAAUCCCCUGGGCCUGCACUGACGCUCAUGCAUGAAAGCGUGGGGAGCAAACAGG